GCAUUGAUUUCAGUCCAGCAUGAGAUACAAAUAUUCCAACCGGGUUUCAAUGGAACACUUGCUCAGGUCGGCGUAUGGAAUAACGUUUCCGAAGCGUCGGGCAGGUUGCCAGUCAACUUCACAACAAAACACGAAAAACUGGCUCUGAGAGUUGUUACUAUUCACCACCCGCCCUACAUAUACAAGACAGCCAUUGACGGUGUCAUCUCCUAUCGCGG